UCCGGUUUGGCACCGGCAGUCCUCCCAGAGUCCCCGCCAUAACGCGCUGGCAACUGGGAGCGGGGGUUGCGCUCGUUGCGGGACUUAACCCAACAUCUCACGACACGAGCUGACGACAGCCAUGCAGCACCUGUGCUGGAGUCCCGAAGGAGGCCUCUGGUUUCUCAGAAGUUUCCCCAGCAUGUCAAGCCUAGGUAAGGUUCUUCGCGUUGCGUCGAAUUGAACCACAUGCUCCACCGCUUGUGCGGGCCCCCGUCAAUUCCUUUGAGUUUCAGCCUUGCGGCCGUACUCCCCAGGCGGGGCACUUCAUGCGUUAGCGCCGGCACUCAGAGGGUCGCUCCCCCAAGCACCUAGUGCCCAUCGUUUACGGCGUGGACUAC
rnacentral:misc_RNA from 1 species